rnacentral:rRNA from 1 species
AGAGUUUGAUCUGGCUCAGGAUGAACGCUGCGGCGUGCUUAACACAUGCAAGUCGAGCGAAAUAAUUGAGAGCUUUGCUUUUGAUAUUUUAGCGGCGGACGGGUGAGUAACGUGUGGGUAACCUGCCUUUUACUGUGGAAUAAUCGUUGGAAACGACGACUAAUACCGCAUACGGUUCUUGGAAGGCAUCUUCUAAGAAAGAAAGGAUUUAUUCGGUAAAAGAUGGGCCCGCAUCUGAUUAGCUAGUUGGUGAGAUAAUAGCCCACCAAGGCAACGAUCAGUAGCCGACCUGAGAGGGUGACCGGCCACAUUGGGACUGAGACACGGCCCAAACUCCUACGGGAGGCAGCAGUGGGGAAUAUUGCACAAUGGGCGAAAGCCUGAUGCAGCAACGCCGCGUGAAGGAAGACGGUUUUCGGAUUGUAAACUUCUAUCAAUAGGGAAGAAAGAAAUGACGGUACCCAAAUAAGAAGCCCCGGCUAACUACGUG